rnacentral:rRNA from 1 species
AGUGAACGCUGGCGGUAGGCCUAACACAUGCAAGUCGAACGGCAGCACAGUAAGAGCUUGCUCUUACGGGUGGCGAGUGGCGGACGGGUGAGGAAUACAUCGGAAUCUACUUUUUCGUGGGGGAUAACGUAGGGAAACUUACGCUAAUACCGCAUACGACCUACGGGUGAAAGCAGGGGAUCUUCGGACCUUGCGCGAUUGAAUGAGCCGAUGUCGGAUCAGCUAGUUGGCGGGGUAAAGGCCCACCAAGGCGACGAUCCGUAGCUGGUCUGAGAGGAUGAUCAGCCACACUGGAACUGAGACACGGUCCAGACUCCUACGGGAGGCAGCAGUGGGGAAUAUUGGACAAAGGGCGCAAGCCUGAUCCAGCCAUACCGCGUGGGUGAAGAAGGCCUUCGGGUUGUAAAGCCCUUUUGUUGGGAAAGAAAAGCAGCAGGUUAAUACCCCGCUGUUCUGACGGUACCCAAAGAAUAAGCACCGGCUAACUUCGUG